UACGUAGGAUGCAAGCGUUGUCCGGAAUUACUGGGCGUAAAGGGCGCGCAGGCGGCUUAUCAAGUCUGCUGUGAAAUCUCUCGGCUUAACUGGGAGGGGUCGGUGGAAACUGGUAGGCUAGAGUACAGGAGAGGUCCGUGGAAUUCCCGGUGUAGUGGUGAAAUGCGUAGAGAUCGGGAGGAACACCAGUGGCGAAAGCGGCGGACUGGCCUGAAACUGACGCUGAGGCGCGAAGGCUAGGGGAGCAAACAGG
rnacentral:rRNA from 1 species